rnacentral:lncRNA from 1 species
GUUCUUGGUGGGGCGGGUCCGCUUCCUCUUCACCAUUACAGGCUUCCGGCUUAUCGUGUGUCUGAUGCUGCUGAGCGUGGCGCGAGCAUUCUUGUUGAUGGUGGUCCGCACAUAGGAGGUGGCAGGCUUCCGCUGGCUGGAUCUCCGCUUCAUGACCACCACACCUCUGCUGUCGGCUGCAGGCUCCACGCCCACAGUCUUGCGGUGAAUCAGCCCUUUUUAGCGAAGGAGUUGCGGGCCUUCAAGUUAUUGGGCUCUGUGCUGUCUGUCUACUUCUUCCUCUUGAUCAGGAAACUGGAGCAGUUCCUCACGACCAUCCAUUGCAGAUGCGCAGACAUGGCGGCGGCUUCUCUCGCAGCGGCCUCAGGGGCAAUUUAAAAGGUCCGCGCUGCGUUUAUGAGCUGUAACACGCACCACCGAGAAGGUCUGCAGCUUCACUGCAGAAGCCAGUGAGACCACAAACCUACCGAAAGUAAGAAACUCUGGACACAUGUGAACAUCUGAGGGAACAAACUCCGGACACACCAUCUUUCAGAACUGUAACACUCACCGCGAGCGUCGGCGGCUUGGUUCUUGAAGUCAGCGAGACCAAGAACCCACCAAUUCCGAACACUCUUUAUGGAGGCUUGUGUUGAUGUGGAGGUGCAGUGAUGUGGAAGUGGCCUGAGAUGCUGAGCUCACAGGUAGAGGACCGCACCCCCAAGAAAUCUCAGCAGGCUAGUAAUAAACAAGAAGUACACCUUUGUUGUUUGAAGCCACUGGGGCUUUGCCGUAGUUUGCUAUUGUUGCAUAACCUAGACUAUUGUGAAUGAUACAUUUUCUUAAGUUUAAGUUUGGUGAUUAAUUUUAAAUUCUGGGAUCUGCUCUACUGUUUUUUUGGAAUUAUUUCAAUGACAUAAAUAUUUUCUGAGAUAUAUUACCUUGCAAUGAGAUGACCUUAGGGACUUGCACAAACUUAAAGUACAAAAUGAGAACUCAGUAUUGUGAAUUCAGCGGCCUUGGUCUGGCAAAAAGACUAGCAAGUAUUAAAAUGCAGAUUCUGGGCUGGGCACAGUGGCUCAUGCCUGUAAUCCCAGCACUUUGGGAGGCCGAGGCAGGUGGAUCACUUGAGGUCAGGAGUUUGAGACCAGCCUAGCCAACAUAGUGAAACCUCGUCUCUGCUAAAAAUACAAAAAUUAUCCGGGCAUGGUGGCGCGUGCCUAUAAUUCCAGCUACUCGGGAGGCAGAGACAGAAGAAUUGCUUGAACCCGGGAGGCAGAGGUUGCAGUGAGCUGAGAUUGCACCACUGCACUCCAGCCUGGGAGACAGAGUGAGACUCCUUCUCCAAAAAAAAAAAAAAAAAAAAAAAAAAAAAAAAUGCAGAUUCUGAGUUAAAAGUCUCCUCUGUUCCUUGUUGUGAAAACUGCUUGUUAAUUGAAAAACAGUGACAAGGUCCUAUAAGGUAUUUUACUUUAAAAUUAUAUACAAUAAAAAUGUUUGCUAAAUGAAGAAUCAUCAUAAAACCAAUUUGUUUUACAGCUAGGAGAGACUUUUGUGUUUAUCAAACCUGUUAUUUUUACUUUCUUUGGCAAGUGGUUGAUUCUUUUUCGGGGCAAAAAAAAUGUACACUAUGUACCAGGAACAACUUAUCAUAUCAAGAAAUCUAGGUAGUUACUAAAGACUACUGGUUAGGUCUAAAGGGCCUGGGGGCGUAACUAAAGAUGCUGUCCCUGUCCAAAUUAGGAUAAUGUUAGCAUCAAGUUUUCAAUCAAUAGCUUGAUCAUAUCAAAUAUACUUAAAAUCAGGAGUUCAUAACAGUAUAUAACAAAAAAGGCUGGACUCAGUGGCUCAUGCCUGUAAUCUCACAACUUUGGGAGCCUGAAGUGGAAGGGUCACCUGAGGCCAGGAGUCUCAUGUCAGACUGGGCAACAAAGCAAGACCCCAUCUCUAAAUUUAAAAAAAAAUAGAGAAAGAAAAAGAAAGUAACCUCAUUGCUCCAUUUUGAAGGAUGCUGAGGAAGCAACUCACUAUUUUGAAAAUUUGUAAAAAUGCAGGGAUAUAUCCUGUCUUUCCAAAAUGACUUGUACCUCAGGGCAAUCCAGUAGUUAGCAAAGGGGCACUUCUCUUUCUUUUUUCUUAAAGACAGGUCUCACUCUGUCACCCACAAUGGGAGUGCAGUGGCUCAAUCUUGUCUGCAACCUCUGCCCCCUGGGCUCAAGCAAUCCUCCCACCUCGGCCUCCCAAGUAGCUGCGACUACAGGCACGCGCCACCAUGUCCAGCUAAUUUUUAAUUUUUUUUUAGAGAAAGUGUUUUGCCAUGUUGCCUCAGCUGGUCUCAAACUCCUAAAUUCUCUCUCCUCAGCCUCUCAAAGUGCUGAGAGCGAUCCUCUCUCCUCAGCCUCUCAAAGCGCUGGGAUUACAGGCACAAGCCACUGCACCCGGCCCGGGACAUUUUUCUUUAUAAACACAUUUAGUUAAGAAGUGAAGAAGAAAUGAUAUAACUACAGCAUUACUGUUUUGCAACUCAUAAUACAAACAUAGGCCUAGGCAUUGAUGAUUAAUGACUGCUAAUUUUACAAAACAGAGAUAGCCAGAUACUAUGGCCUCCUAAUUCAAGUACAUACCAUCUAACAAGUGUUAUUGUAGAAAAAAAAAAAAAGAAAAAAUCCUGAAUCUGAUUGAACUCCAGAUCUAACUACUAACUUUCUUGAUUGCAUCAUAAGAAUUAGUGUUGCUGAGAGCUGUAUAAUUAAACUAGGGACAGAGGAGCAUGUUAAGCAACACUGUGAAUAUGCAAUUAACAAAAUCUAGAUCGUGGAAAUUCUACAGGUCUAAAGACUUACUUCGUUUAACAAAUAUCAGGAAAAUUUGAAUACUGUCUUGGAUAUUUGAUGAUAUUAAGGAACUGUUAAUUUAUCUAGGUAUGAUAAUGGAAUUGUGGUUAUAUUUAAAGAAAAUGGUACUGAUCUUUCAGAUAUACAUCAAAAUAUCUUGAGAUGAAAUAAUAUGAUAUCUGAGAUUCGCAUGAAAUAAUUCAGUGGGAAAUGGUACAGUGGUGGAUGAAAAGUAGCUGUGAAUAUAGAUAAAACAAAAUUUACUUGAGGUUUUAAUUGUUGAAGCUGGGUGAUGCAUAGAUAAUAAGUAGUUCAUUAUGCCAUUUUCUUUACUUUUGCAUAUA